CGUUUCCAGGAGGAGGCCAGAACAUACCUGUAGAGCUGUGGCUUCUCUUUCUCCAAGCUCUGCCAAAGGUAUGUGCUGUUACAUAGCAGUUGCAUGUGAAGAGAAGAGGGAGUGGAAGUUGCUGUCUGAGAAUCCUGUCCUUCUAAGCUGUGCCUGAAGUGUUCAGCCAGCUGACUGGCGUGACCUAAACUAAAU